rnacentral:rRNA from 2 species
GGGGAAUUUUCCGCAAUGGGCGAAAGCCUGACGGAGCAAUACCGCGUGUGGGAGGACGCCUUUUGGGGUGUAAACCACUUUUAUCAGGGAAGAAUUGAUGACGGUACCUGAUGAAUCAGCAUCGGCUAACUCCGUGCCAGCAGCCGCGGUAAUACGGAGGAUGCAAGCGUUAUCCGGAAUUAUUGGGCGUAAAGCGUCCGUAGGUGGCUAUAUAAGUCUUUUGUCAAAUCGUGCAGCUUAACUGCAUACGGGCGGAGGAAACUAUAGAGCUAGAGUGCGAUAGGGGUCACAGGAAUUCCCAGUGUAGCGGUGAAAUGCGUAGAUAUUGGGAAGAACACCAGCGGCGAAAGCGUGUGACUGGGUCUGCACUGACACUGAGGGACGAAAGCUAGGGGAGCGAAAGGGAUUAGAUACCCCUGUAGUCCUAGCCGUAAACGAUGACAACUAGGUGUGGUUCGUAUCGACCCGAGCCGUGCCGUAGCCAACGCGUUAAGUUGUCCGCCUGGGGAGUACGCACGCAAGUGUGAAACUCAAAGGAAUUGACGGGGGCCCGCACAAGCGGUGGAGUAUGUGGUUUAAUUCGAUGCAACGCGAAGAACCUUACCAAGGCUUGACAUCCUCGGAACCCUUGUGAAAGCAGGGGGUGCCUUCGGGAACCGAGAGACAGGUGGUGCAUGGCUGUCGUCAGCUCGUGUCGUGAGAUGUUGGGUUAAGUCCCGCAACGAGCGCAACCCACGUUUUUAGUUGCCAGCAUUCAGUUGGGCACUCUAGAGAGACUGCCGGUGACAAACCGGAGGAAGGUGUGGAUGACGUCAAGUCAGCAUGCCCCUUACGCCUUGGGCUACACACGUACUACAAUGCGUUGGACAAAGAGCAGCCAGUCAGCGAUGACGAGCCAAUCUCAUAAACCAACGCUCAGUUCAGAUUGCAGGCUGCAACUCGCCUGCAUGAAGGCGGAAUCGCUAGUAAUCGCAGGUCAGCAUACUGCGGUGAAUACGUUCCCGGGCCUUGUACACACCGCCCGUCACACCAUGGGAGUUGGUCACGCCCGAAGUCGUUACUCUAACCAUUCGUGGAGGAGGAUGCCGAAGGUGGGGCUGAUGACUGGGGUGAAGUCGUAACAAGGUAGCCGUACCGGAAGGUGUGGCUGGAUCACCUCCU